rnacentral:rRNA from 1 species
AUGGAGAGUUUGAUCCUGGCUCAGGACGAACGCUGGCGGCGUGCCUAAUACAUGCAAGUCGAACGAGAAACUUCGGUUUCUAGUGGCGAACGGGUGAGUAACACGUGGGCAACCUGCCCUCAAGCCUGGGAUAACUCCGGGAAACCGGGGCUAACACCAGAUAAUCUUCUUAUUCGCAUGAAAGAGAAGUAAAAGUUUACACUUGAGGAUGGGCCCGCGGUGCAUUAGCUAGUUGGUGGGGUAACGGCCUACCAAGGCGACGAUGCAUAGCCGACCUGAGAGGGUGACCGGCCACACUGGGACUGAGACACGGCCCAGACUCCUACGGGAGGCAGCAGUAGGGAAUUUUCCGCAAUGGGGGCAACCCUGACGGAGCAACGCCGCGUGAGUGAAGACGGCCUUCGGGUUGUAAAGCUCUGUUCUUGGGGAAGAAACAAAUGACGGUACCCAAGCAGAAAGCCCCGGCUAACUACGUGCCAGCAGCCGCGGUAAUACGUAGGGGGCAAGCGUUGUCCGGAUUUAUUGGGCGUAAAGCGCGCGCAGGCGGUGGGUUAAGUUGUGGGUAAAAGGCAUUGGCUCAACCAAUGUAAGCCUGCAAAACUGGCUCACUUGAGUGCAGGAGAGGGGAGUGGAAUUCCCGGUGUAGCGGUGGAAUGCGUAGAUAUCGGGAGGAACACCAGUGGCGAAGGCGACUCUCUGGCCUGUAACUGACGCUGAGGCGCGAAAGCGUGGGUAGCGAACAGGAUUAGAUACCCUGGUAGUCCACGCCGUAAACGAUGAGUGCUAGGUGUUGGGGGCAUCACGUCCUCAGUGCCGAAGGAAACCCAAUAAGCACUCCGCCUGGGGAGUACGGCCGCAAGGCUGAAACUCAAAGGAAUUGACGGGGGCCCGCACAAGCGGUGGAGCAUGUGGUUUAAUUCGAAGCAACGCGAAGAACCUUACCAAGGCUUGACAUCCCAUUGACCCCUCUAGAGAUAGAGGUUCCCUUCGGGGCAAUGGUGACAGGUGGUGCAUGGUUGUCGUCAGCUCGUGUCGUGAGAUGUUGGGUUCAGUCCCGCAACGAGCGCAACCCUUAUCCUUAGUUGCCAGCAGGUAAAGCUGGGCUCUCUAAGGAGACAGCCGGUGAAAGCCGGAGGAAGGUGGGGAUGACGUCAAAUCAUCAUGCCCCUUACGUCUUGGGCUACACACGUGCUACAAUGGAUGGUACAAAGGGAAGCGAGACCGCGAGGUGGAGCAAAUCCCAGAAAGCCAUUCUCAGUUCGGAUUGUAGGCUGCAACUCGCCUACAUGAAGCCGGAAUCGCUAGUAAUCGCGGAUCAGCAUGCCGCGGUGAAUACGUUCCCGGGCCUUGUACACACCGCCCGUCACACCACGAGAGUUUGCAACACCCGAAGUCGGUGACAGAACCCUUAGGGGACUGAGCUGCCGAAGGUGGGGCAGAUGAUUGGGGUGAAGUCGUAACAAGGUAUCCCUACCGGAAGGUGGGGAUGGAUCACCUCCUUUCUAUGGAG